CUUUGUUCUGUUGACCAAUAAGUUAUGUAUAAUGUGUAUAUGCUGAUAUGCAUGGCAUCACUGAAAUGUGUGUAUUCCUGUUGGUGAAGUUUGGAAUCAGCAUUGUGUUUUCUUUCGAAGUGAUGAAUUUGGCAUAUCCUUCUAUCAUAUUGUGUUUUCUGAUUUUCAUCAGUAUUCUUUAAGUAUAUAACUGAACUGAAGGACUUUGUUUACCAUGCACCUACUAAGUGUGCUAUGCAAAAUAUGUCCAAGUUACUGUGCACAUGCAGUAAUUAUGAUCCUGAUAAUUUCUUUUUAUCUAGGGGUGCCUCCACCCACAUUUAUAUGCUUUUACGGACAGUAGAGAAUAGGGUUGUAUUACUAUGCAGAGAUCAUUGAGCAGAAUCGAGCUGCUGCUCAGAACUAAGUGUCGCCUCUGUUUGGUUUAGCCGAGGAUGAUCUGGACAAUUCAGUAGAAGCCGAGAACCUGGGAUUUUGAUGAAGAUACAGGCGAUGUAACCUGGGAUUUCUGUAGUGUUAUUCAAGAAGCCGAGAACCUUGACCACCUAUCUAUGAUGGCAAUUGAUGUGGUCUAGAACUUAGACAUCUAUCCAUAUGAUGUAGAGUCAGACUGCUCUAAGUAUGAUGAAUUCCCUACCUACUGCCCAUCUAAUUCUACCAAAGAUGACUAUGGUGCGAGCCGCUUCGAUGACGAAGACUGCUCUACGACGAAAAUGCUUGAUGAAUCAGUCACAAGAAGAAAAUGAGGCGCUUUUGGUUUAUCACCAGGCUCUCUGAGUUGGUGCAAAUAUGCAUCUGUUCUGCCCCUAUCCCGUUGUAGGAUUUACUAAUGGAUGUUAGACCAACAUUCUCCCCUCAAUUGUUUUUAUGACUGAUCCUUUCUGGUGUCAUCUGAUGAUUUCUUACUCUCCUCUUGGAACAGAUAAAUGUAAUCAAUUGCAAAGCUAGAAAGUAUUCAUUAAGCACUGAAAACUUAUACCUUUUGUUUCAGAGAAUAAUUGAGUAUGAAGCAACCAAGGUGAUGCUGGCCCUAAGCAUCAAUCCGUGUGUUCCGACUCUAUGAGUUUACAUACGGCUACAUGCAAGCCAAGAUGAGUGCUCUACGCUUACGGCUCAUGCUAACUGAACUGGUGAUGUUUCUUUCUUCACCUUGAUUGACGCCACAUGUUCCCCCUGGUUGCCACGUCGUCCUCGUCUUCGGCUUGCAAGGGACUGGAUCUGGUGUGAUUGAUUCUUCCUCUCGCAAGGUUAUGAUGGCCGACAAACAGCUCCAAGUUCACGGGUCGCCAGGCUCGCCGAGUGACGCUGGCUCCAACGGUGGUCUGUGAGCACUUGCCCAGGUCAAUUGAUAUUUGUGGUGGCCCUUCUCUGUUUUUACUUGGAAAAAUUUAGUCCGUAUGUGCCUCAGUGAAUUUUAAAAUCAAAGGAAAUGCUCUGUGCAGAAAAAUACAUAUCUAAUCUAGGGGGUAUAUGUAAUAGCGGUAGAUAAAUAAUAAUGUUUAGAUUCAGGCAGUAUA